UGGAUGGAGGGUUUGAUCCUGGCUCAGGGUGAACGCUGGCGGCGUGCUUGACACAUGCAAGUCGAACGGUAUGUGGCAACACAUAGAGUGGCGAACGGGUGAGUAACACGUGGGAACGUACCUUCUGCAGGGGGAUAACUGACCGAAAGGACAGCUAAUACCGCAUAAGACCGAGAGGAGAAAGGUGCAACAGCAUCGGCAGAGGAGCGGCCCGCGGACCAUCAGCUAGUUGGUGGGGUAAGAGCCUACCAAGGCAACGACGGAUAGCCGGCGUGAGAGCGUGGCCGGCCACAAGGACACUGAGAUACGGGUCCUACUCCUACGGGAGGCAGCAGUGCGGAAUUUUAGAUAAUGGAGGCAACUCUGAUCUAGCGACGCCGCGUGCAGGAAGAAGGUCUUCGGAUUGUAAACUGCUGUGGUAAGGGAAAAAUGCCAUGUAGAGUGGAAAGCUACAUGGAGGGAUGGUACUUUACUAGAAAGCCCCGGCUAACUACGUGCCAGCAGCCGCGGUAAUACGUAGGGGGCGAGCGUUACCCGGAAUCACUGGGCGUAAAGGGAGCGUAGGUGGCCUGACAUGUCGACUGUGAAAACCCGGAGCUCAACUCCGGACUUGCAGUUGAAACUGCCAGGCUUGAGGACGGUAGAGGAAGACGGAACUGCCAGUGUAGGGGUAAAAUCCUUAGAUAUUGGCAGGAACGCCGGUGACGAAGGUGGUUUUCUGGGCCGGUUCUGACACUGAUGCUCGAAAGCCAGGGGAGCGAACGGGAUUAGAUACCCCGGUAGUCCUGGCCCUAAACGAUGUUCACUAGGUGUGGGGAGCGGAAAGCUUUCCGUGCUAAAGCUAACGCGAUAAGUGAACCGCCUGGGGAGUACGCCCGCAAGGGUGAAACUCAAAGGAAUUGACGGGGGCCCGCACAAGCGGUGGAGCGUGUGGUUUAAUUCGAUGCUAAGCGAAGGACCUUACCAAGGUUUGACAUGCUGAUAGUAGUGAAUUGAAAGAGGAACGACCACACUUUGUGUGGAGUCAGCACAGGUGGUGCACGGCCGUCGUCAGCUCGUGCCGUGAGGUGUUGGGUUAAGUCCCGCAACGAGCGCAACCCCUGCUCUUAGUUGCCAGCGGUAAGGCCGGGCACUCUAGGAGGACCGCCGCCGACGAGGCGGAGGAAGGGGGGGAUGACGUCAGGUAUCGUGCCCCUUAUAUCUUGGGCGACACACGCGCUACAAUGGGUUGGACAGAAGGGACCGAGACAGCAAUGUGGAGGAAAUCCUCAAACCAACCCCCAGUUCAGAUUGCAGGCUGCAACCCGCCUGCAUGAAGCCGGAAUCGCUAGUAAUCGCAGAUCAGCCAAGCUGCGGUGAAUACGUUCCCGGGCCUUGUACACACCGCCCGUCAAGCCACCCGAGUUGGUAACACCUGAAGAUGAGUAUCCUAACCGUAAGGAGGGAGCUUGUUUAGGGUGGGAUUGGCAAGGGGGGCUAAGUCGUAACAAGGUAGCCCUACCGGAAGGUGGGGCUGGAUCACCUCCUUUCUAAGGAGUUU
rnacentral:rRNA from 1 species